rnacentral:rRNA from 1 species
GGUUAAGCGACUAAGCGUACACGGUGGAUGCCCUGGCAGUCAGAGGCGAUGAAGGACGUGCUAAUCUGCGAAAAGCGUCGGUAAGGUGAUAUGAACCGUUACAGCCGGCGAUGUCCGAAUGGGGAAACCCAGUGCAAUUCGUUGCACUAUCGUUAACUGAAUACAUAGGUUAACGAGGCGAACCGGGGGAACUGAAACAUCUAAGUACCCCGAGGAAAAGAAAUCAACCGAGAUUCCCCCAGUAGCGGCGAGCGAACGGGGAGCAGCCCAGAGUCUGAAUCAGCUUGUGUGUUAGUGGAACGGUCUGGAAAGUCCGACGGUACAGGGUGAUAGUCCCGUACACCAAAAUGCACAGGCUGUGAACUCGAAGAGUAGGGCGGGACACGUGGUAUCCUGUCUGAAUAUGGGGGGACCAUCCUCCAAGGCUAAAUACUCCUGACUGACCGAUAGUGAACCAGUACCGUGAGGGAAAGGCGAAAAGAACCCCGGCGAGGGGAGUGAAAAAGAACCUGAAACCGUGUACGUACAAGCAGUGGGAGCACCUUCGGGUGUGACUGCGUACCUUUUGUAUAAUGGGUCAGCGACUUAUAUUCUGUAGCAAGGUUAACCGUAUAGGGGAGCCGCAGGGAAACCGAGUCUUAACUGGGCGUUAAGUUGCAGGGUAUAGACCCGAAACCCGGUGAUCUAGCCAUGGGCAGGUUGAAGGUUGGGUAACACUAACUGGAGGACCGAACCGACUAAUGUUGAAAAAUUAGCGGAUGACUUGUGGCUGGGGGUGAAAGGCCAAUCAAACCGGGAGAUAGCUGGUUCUCCCCGAAAGCUAUUUAGGUAGCGCCUCGUGAACUCAUCUUCGGGGGUAGAGCACUGUUUCGGCUAGGGGGUCAUCCCGACUUACCAACCCGAUGCAAACUACGAAUACCGAAGAAUGUUAUCACGGGAGACACACGGCGGGUGCUAACGUCCGUCGUGAAGAGGGAAACAACCCAGACCGCCAGCUAAGGUCCCAAAGUCAUGGUUAAGUGGGAAACGAUGUGGGAAGGCACAGACAGCCAGGAUGUUGGCUUAGAAGCAGCCAUCAUUUAAAGAAAGCGUAAUAGCUCACUGGUCGAGUCGGCCUGCGCGGAAGAUGUAACGGGGCUAAACCAUGCACCGAAGCUGCGGCAGCGACACUAUGUGUUGUUGGGUAGGGGAGCGUUCUGUAAGCCUGCGAAGGUGUGCUGUGAGGCAUGCUGGAGGUAUCAGAAGUGCGAAUGCUGACAUAAGUAACGAUAAAGCGGGUGAAAAGCCCGCUCGCCGGAAGACCAAGGGUUCCUGUCCAACGUUAAUCGGGGCAGGGUGAGUCGACCCCUAAGGCGAGGCCGAAAGGCGUAGUCGAUGGGAAACAGGUUAAUAUUCCUGUACUUGGUGUUACUGCGAAGGGGGGACGGAGAAGGCUAUGUUAGCCGGGCGACGGUUGUCCCGGUUUAAGCAUGUAGGCUGAUUGUCCAGGCAAAUCCGGAUAAUCAAGGCUGAGGUGUGAUGACGAGGCACUACGGUGCUGAAGUAACAAAUGCCCUGCUUCCAGGAAAAGCCUCUAAGCAUCAGGUAACAUUAAAUCGUACCCCAAACCGACACAGGUGGUCAGGUAGAGAAUACCAAGGCGCUUGAGAGAACUCGGGUGAAGGAACUAGGCAAAAUGGUGCCGUAACUUCGGGAGAAGGCACGCUGGUGUGUAGGUGAAGUCCCUGCGGAUGGAGCUGAGACCAGUCGAAGAUACCAGCUGGCUGCAACUGUUUAUUAAAAACACAGCACUGUGCAAACACGAAAGUGGACGUAUACGGUGUGACGCCUGCCCGGUGCCGGAAGGUUAAUUGAUGGGGUUAUCCGUAAGGAGAAGCUCUUGAUCGAAGCCCCGGUAAACGGCGGCCGUAACUAUAACGGUCCUAAGGUAGCGAAAUUCCUUGUCGGGUAAGUUCCGACCUGCACGAAUGGCGUAAUGAUGGCCAGGCUGUCUCCACCCGAGACUCAGUGAAAUUGAACUCGCUGUGAAGAUGCAGUGUACCCGCGGCAAGACGGAAAGACCCCGUGAACCUUUACUAUAGCUUGACACUGAACAUUGAGCCUUGAUGUGUAGGAUAGGUGGGAGGCUUUGAAGCGUGGACGCCAGUCUGCGUGGAGCCAACCUUGAAAUACCACCCUUUAAUGUUUGAUGUUCUAACGUUGGCCCCUGACCGGGGUUGCGGACAGUGUCUGGUGGGUAGUUUGACUGGGGCGGUCUCCUCCCAAAGCGUAACGGAGGAGCACGAAGGUUAGCUAAUCCUGGUCGGACAUCAGGAGGUUAGUGCAAUGGCAUAAGCUAGCUUGACUGCGAGCGUGACGGCGCGAGCAGGUGCGAAAGCAGGUCAUAGUGAUCCGGUGGUUCUGAAUGGAAGGGCCAUCGCUCAACGGAUAAAAGGUACUCCGGGGAUAACAGGCUGAUACCGCCCAAGAGUUCAUAUCGACGGCGGUGUUUGGCACCUCGAUGUCGGCUCAUCACAUCCUGGGGCUGAAGUAGGUCCCAAGGGUAUGGCUGUUCGCCAUUUAAAGUGGUACGCGAGCUGGGUUUAGAACGUCGUGAGACAGUUCGGUCCCUAUCUGCCGUGGGCGCUGGAGAAUUGAGGGGGGCUGCUCCUAGUACGAGAGGACCGGAGUGGACGCAUCACUGGUGUUCGGGUUGUCAUGCCAAUGGCACUGCCCGGUAGCUAAAUGCGGAAGAGAUAAGUGCUGAAAGCAUCUAAGCACGAAACUUGCCCCG